rnacentral:rRNA from 1 species
GAUGAACGCUGGCGGCAUGCCUAACACAUGCAAGUCGAUCGGUAAGGCUCUUCGGAGUACACGAGAGGCGGACGGCUGAGUAACGCGUAGGAACACACCCUGCAGUGAGGGAUAAGACACCGAAAGGUGUUCUAAUACCGCAUACGGUCUUCGGAUUAAAGCAUUUCUGCGCUGAAGGAGUGGCCUGCGUCAUAUUAGAUAGUUGGUGAGGUAAUGGCUCACCAAGUCGAUGAUGUGUAGCUGGUCUGAGAGGAUGAUCAGCCAGACUGGAACUGAGACACGGUCCAGACUCCUACGGGAGGCAGCAGUGAGGAAUAUUUCACAAUGAGCGAAAGCUUGAUGGAGCAAUGCCGCGUGCAGGAUGAAGGCCCUCGGGUUGUAAACUGCUUUUAUAAGAGAAGAUUAUGACGGUAACUUAUGAAUAAGGGACGGCUAACUACGUG